UACGAAGGGGGGCUAGCGUUGCUCGGAAUUACUGGGCGUAAAGGGCGCGUAGGCGGAUAGUUUAGUCAGAGGUGAAAGCCCAGGGCUUAACCUUGGAAUUGCCUUUGAUACUGGCUAUCUUGAGUUCGGGAGAGGUGAGUGGAAUGCCGAGUGUAGAGGUGAAAUUCGUAGAUAUUCGGCGGAACACCAGUGGCGAAGGCGACUCACUGGCCCGAUACUGACGCUGAGGCGCGAAAGCGUGGGGAGCAAACAGGG
rnacentral:rRNA from 1 species